UUUAAGUGCAGCUGUAUGUUUCCAUGUCCAAUGUGAUCGUUCGUCUUAUUUAAAAAAAUUUAAAAAAUAUAUAAAAAAUAGACACACAUAAAGUACUAUUCAUAUUUUAUCAUCUAGAAACAACAAAAAUACUAAUUAUAAAAAAUUUUUAAAUAAGACAGACAAUCAAACGUUGGGUAUAAAUAGU
rnacentral:pre_miRNA from 1 species